CCCUUAGAUGUUCUGGGCGGCACGCGCGCUACAAUGGUCUUCGCAAACGGAUGCAUUCUCGAAGGAGAAUGCCAAUCUUGGAAUCUAUGCCUUGGUCGGGACAGUUGCUUGCAAUUUUUCGACUCGAACCAGGAAUUCCUUGUAAUCGUGAUUCAUCACAUCACGAUGAAUACGUCCCUGCCCUUUGUACACACCGCCCGUCGCUCCUACCGAUCGAAGAGCUAGGUGAAUUGUUUUGAUCGAUAAGAUUUGACUAUGGUCAACUCUCGUUGUGAAAUUCUGUGAAUCUGACUGUUUAGAGGAAGGAAAAGUCGUAACA
rnacentral:rRNA from 1 species